ACAAACCCAUUUAAUUAUAUUUUGAAUCUUCACCAGGAGAAAAAAGAUGGCAGUACUUCUAAUGCAAGCAGCUACUAGGGAAGAUUUAAUGAAGGAAGAUGAGGAAGUGGAGGAAAAGCUGAAGAACAAGGAGGACAAGGUGAAGAAAGGACAAGGGCACAGUGACUUGCAGUGUGUGUCAUGUAACAUUAUUACAACAUCUAUAUCAUGGGUCCAUAAUUUUGAGUAAGUCAUUCAUCAACCACUUUAUCUGUACUGGAAACCAUUUCUGAGAGGGAUGAAGUGAUGGAAGAUAAUGAGCCAGAGGGUGGAACGGAAGAGAAAGGGAAAGAAAUAAAGAAAAAGGCAGAAUGAAAAAGGACUAGAACUUGCAAUAGAAGAAAAAGUUGAGGAAAUGAAGAGGAAGAAAUUGAAGAUGAAAAGAAGAGCUCUGGGAGGAAAAAAUUCCAUUUGUAAGAUGUGUGGACAAAAGAAAAACAGCCAUAGAGUGCCAAUGUGGAGUGGAAUAAGUCAGUAUGACUUAAACAUGGUCAAUUGAAGUGUUUGAAUGCCCCUCCAGAAAGCAGAACAAUCUUUGAAUUUGCAGGAAAGAGUAUAAAAUUUCCUGUUAAAAUAUCAUAACAGCUAGACAAAGAUUAAAUAACAACUACAUGUACAUCUAAAGAAUUCUUUUGUCAUAAUAGUGAUUCAUGUGCUAGUACAUGUGACAAGUGCUAUAACGACCUAAUAUAAGUGUGUUUUAGGAGCAUGUUGACUCUAUUGUAAAUGUAUUGACUCCUUAUAUGACCUCAUUUAUAUAUAACAUUAUAUGAAUGGUAGUGUAGUGACUUGAAAUGUGUGUUAGUAGUAUAGCUCGUUAUGUGUGGUAAUUUUGUUAUUUGUUUUACA